GAUGAACGCUGGCGGCGUGCCUAAUACAUGCAAGUCGAGCGAACAGACGAGGAGCUUGCUCCUUUGACGUUAGCGGCGGACGGGUGAGUAACACGUGGGUAACCUACCUAUAAGGCUGGGAUAACUUCGGGAAACCGGAGCUAAUACCGGAUAAUAUUUCGAACCGCAUGGUUCGAUAGUGAAAGAUGGCUCUGCUAUCACUUAUAGAUGGACCUGCGCCGUAUUAGCUAGUUGGUAAGGUAACGGCUUACCAAGGCAACGAUACGUAGCCGACCUGAGAGGGUGAUCGGCCACACUGGAACUGAGACACGGUCCAGACUCCUACGGGAGGCAGCAGUAGGGAAUCUUCCGCAAUGGGCGAAAGCCUGACGGAGCAACGCCGCGUGAGUGAUGAAGGUCUUCGGAUCGUAAAACUCUGUUAUUAGGGAAGAACAAACGUGUAAGUAACUGUGCACGUCUUGACGGUACCUAAUCAGAAAGCCACGGCUAACUACGUG
rnacentral:rRNA from 1 species